rnacentral:rRNA from 1 species
UUCCGGUUGAUCCCGCCAGACCCCACUGCUAUCGAGAUGGGACUAAGGUAUGCUAGUCGAACGACCAGAACUAUGUCUGGAAGUGGCACACUGCUCAGUAACACGUAGCUAACCUACCCUUAGGACGUGGAUACCCCCGAGAAAUUGGGGUUAAUCCGCGAUAGAUGUAAUGUCCUGGAAUGGUAUUACGUCUAAAGGUAUUUCAUACAUGUUUGAAAUAUGCCUAAGAAUGGGGCUGCGGCCGAUCAGGCUGUUGGUGAGGUAAUGGCUCACCAAACCUUUGACCGGUACGGGCCAUGAGAGUGGUAGCCCGGAGAUGGACACUGAGACAAGGGUCCAGGCCCUAAGGGGCGCAGCAACCGCGAACCCUCCACAAUGCACUCACGUGCGAUGGGGCUAUCUCGAGUGCCACCUGAUGAAGGUGGCUUUUCCUAGGUCUUCAAAGCCUUGGGAAUAAGAGGGGGGCAAGACUGGUGUCAGCCGCCGCGGUAACACCAGCCCCUCGAGUGGUGGGGAUGAUUAUUUGGCCUAAAGCGUCCGUAGCCGGCCGAGCAAGUCUUCCGUUAAAUCCAGCGUCUCAAGCGUUGGACCGCGGGAGGUACUACACGGCUAGAGAGUGGGAGAGGUCAGCGGUAUUCUGGGGGUAAGGGCGAAAUCUUUUGAUCCCCGGAGGACCACCAGUGGCGAAGGCUGCUGACUAGAACACGUCUGACGGUCAGGGACGAAAGCUGGGGUAGCGAACCGGAUUAGAUACCCGGGUAGUCCCAGCCGUAAACGAUGCAUGCUAGGUGUUGGGUUGGCUAUGCGCUGCCCAGUGCCUCAUGGAAGCCGUUAAGCUUGUUGCCUGGGGAAUACCAUCUCAAGUGAAACUUAAAGGACUUGGCGGGGGAGCCUCGCAAGGGGUGAAGCCUGCGGUUAAAUUGGAUUCAACGCCGGA